CCUACGGGAGGCAGCAGUGAGGAAUAUUGGUCAAUGGACGAGAGUCUGAACCAGCCAAGUAGCGUGAAGGAUGACUGCCCUAUGGGUUGUAAACUUCUUUUAUAAAGGAAUAAAACGAGGCACGUGUGCCUUUUUGUAUGUACUUUAUGAAUAAGGAUCGGCUACCUCCGUGCCAGCAGCCGCGGUAAUACGGAGGAUCCGAGCGUUAUCCGGAUUUAUUGGGUUUAAAGGGAGCGUAGAUGGGUUGUUAAGUCAGUUGUGAAAGUUUGCGGCUCAACCGUAAAAUUGCAAUUGAUACUGGCAGUCUUGAGUACAGUUGAGGUAGGCGGAAUUCGUGGUGUAGCGGUGAAAUGCUUAGAUAUCACGAAGAACCCCGAUUGCGAAGGCAGCUUACUAAACUGUAACUGACAUUGAUGCUCGAAAGUGUGGGUAUCAAACAGGAUUAGAUACCCCUGUAGUC
rnacentral:rRNA from 1 species